rnacentral:rRNA from 1 species
GACGAACGCUGGCGGCGUGCUUAACACAUGCAAGUCGAACGGACAGGCCCUGCUUUUGUGGGGUGCUCGUGUGGCGAACGCGUGAGUAACACGUGAGUAACCUGCCCUUGACUUUGGGAUAACUUCAGGAAACUGGGGCUAAUACCGGAUAGGAGCUCCUGCUGCAUGGUGGGGGUUGGAAAGUUUCGGCGGUUGGGGAUGGACUCGCGGCUUAUCAGCUUGUUGGUGGGGUAGUGGCUUACCAAGGCUUUGACGGGUAGCCGGCCUGAGAGGGUGACCGGCCACAUGGGGACUGAGAUACGGAGCAGACUCCUACGGGAGGCAGCAGGGGGGAAUAUGGCGCAAUGGGGGGAAGCCUGAUGCAGAAACGCCGCGUGCGGGAUGACGGCCUUCGGGUUGUAAACCGCUUUCGCCUGUGACGAAGCGUGAGUGACGGUAAUGGGUAAAGAAGCAACGGCUAACUACGUG